UUUGAUGAUACGAGGCAACAUGUCAACAUGCUUGAACUUCAUCGAUCAAGUCGUGUUAGAAGGCUCGACCCGCAUUAAGUUAGGUAUCAGAAUGCCCAACCCCUUCUAAUUAUGUGUUGGGAUGCCUGACCGACAUCAAGCUGUGUUAGGAGCCAAUUGGCCAUCGAUGAGGCCAAGUGUGGCUGUGUACGCUAGUAGUGGCUACAACACAUCAGGCUUCCGCGAGGUAGAGCAGUAGCUUGGCAUGUCGGAGCAACAAAACAGUGAGCUACAAUAGUUGGCCGUGCUUGAACAAGGCGAAGAGAUAGUAAGGAGAGGCAACAGCAACUCAGUGUGGCUCAACUUGCAAUUGCGGCGUACCAUACAUACUUUGGCAAGGCUACAGCAUACCUUGGCAGGACAUGUUGAUAACUCGUCAUCGGUGAGCAGCAAAAAGUGAGGUUGCAGUUGUAGCCCGUGCCUCGGCAACAUGGCCGAGCAACAAUAUCAAAGAAGCUUUGGCAAGAGAAGGAGCAACAAUAUCAUCCUUCUAUAUCAGUAUAUUUAAAAAAUAUAUUAAUAAUAUCAUGUUAGCACGACGUGAUGUUGAUCCGUAUACAAGAAAUAGUCCGAAACAAAGUAUAGUUUCUCCAACUUGUUGAUUACACAAAGAUUGAGGUCAAGAUGUCUUUUAAGUUAA